CCUACGGGUUGCAGCAGUGGGGAAUAUUGGACAAUGGGCGAAAGCCUGAUCCAGCCAUGCCGCGUGUGUGAAGAAGGCCUUCGGGUUGUAAAGCACUUCAGUGGGGAAGAAAGCCUUGGGGCUAAUACCCUCGAGGAAGGACAUCACCCACAGAAGAAGCACCGGCUAACUCCGUGCCAGCAGCCGCGGUAAUACGGAGGGUGCGAGCGUUAAUCGGAAUUACUGGGCGUAAAGCGCGCGUAGGCGGUCUGAUAAGCCGGUUGUGAAAGCCCCGGGCUCAACCUGGGAACGGCAUCCGGAACUGUCAGGCUAGAGUGCAGGAGAGGAAGGUAGAAUUCCCGGUGUAGCGGUGAAAUGCGUAGAGAUCGGGAGGAAUACCAGUGGCGAAGGCGGCCUUCUGGACUGACACUGACGCUGAGGUGCGAAAGCGUGGGUAGCAAACAGGAUUAGAUACCCUUGUAGU
rnacentral:rRNA from 1 species